AUUGAACGCUAGCGGGAUGCUUUACACAUGCAAGUCGAACGGCAGCGCGGACUUCGGUCUGGCGGCGAGUGGCGAACGGGUGAGUAAUGUAUCGGAACGUGCCCAGUAGCGGGGGAUAACUACGCGAAAGCGUAGCUAAUACCGCAUACGCCCUACGGGGGAAAGCAGGGGAUCGUAAGACCUUGCACUAUUGGAGCGGCCGAUAUCGGAUUAGCUAGUUGGUGAGGUAACGGCUCACCAAGGCGACGAUCCGUAGCUGGUUUGAGAGGACGACCAGCCACACUGGGACUGAGACACGGCCCAGACUCCUACGGGAGGCAGCAGUGGAGAAUUUUGGACAAUGGGGGCAACCCUGAUCCAGCCAUCCCGCGUGUGCGAUGAAGGCCUUCGGGUUGUAAAGCACUUUUGGCAGGAAAGAAACGUCGCGGGCUAAUACCCCGUGGAACUGACGGUACCUGCAGAAUAAGCACCGGCUAACUACGUG
rnacentral:rRNA from 1 species